CUGGUUUGGAUGUUGGUGAAGCAGAGUUAAAUUUCGGCUCAGAAUGGCCUUUAGAGUCUGGCAGGGAUUGAAGCCCAUUUCUGUCACUUAGCCAGGGGCCAGCCCGAGAGACUUAGAGGGAGUGAUUGUCGGGGCCCUGGCGGGUGCUUGGAAAGCAUUCGCUUUGGGCUGCUACUUGCAUCGGUUCAUCUGGCUGCGUAGAGCCAAGAGUAGCAGGCCUUGGGUUUGCCUAAACCACUGGUGUCUGGUGUCCAAACUGCUGUGGAUCUGAAACAACUGCCUUGUCUCUCUUCACAGAAAUUGCCCCAAUGAUGGCCAAGACGAUUAAAGCUUUCAAGAACAGGUUCUCCCG
rnacentral:lncRNA from 1 species